CCUGUGCAGUGGCCGAGGAUGGCUGUGGGAGCCUCGCUCCGGACCCCAUGCCUGCCUCAGCCGAGCUAAGUCCCAUCAGCCAUGGAAACACAAUUGCGCUCUUCUUCCGGUCACUGUUGCCAAACUAUACCAUGGAGGGGGAGAGGCCCGAGGAAGGAGUGGCUGGGGGUCUGAACCGCAACCAGGGCCUGAACAGGCUGAUGCUGGCUGUGCGCGACAUGAUGGCCAACUUCCACCUCAACGACCUGGAGGCGCCGCACGAGGACGACGCUGAGGGGGAGGGGGAGUGGGACUGAGCGUCCGCAGAGGUGACUGAAAAGCCGUACGAUGAUGUUUCUGAUUUCUGUGCUGGUCGAAAUCGGCCAGUUCCCUGAAGUAGGGAAGCUGACUGUGUCACUCCCUGGUCCACUGUUUCUCCUAUAAACGUAAAUGGGUCA
rnacentral:sRNA from 1 species